AGCCCAGCGACAGCCGAGCAGAGCAGCCUCCUCAAGAGCCCAGCAGCGACACUUCAGACAGCAGCAGUCAGUCAGUCUCCCAGUUCCUGUUUCCGCCACGACUCACGAAGCAUCCCUUUCGUUAAAACAUACGCGCUGUGGAGAUACUAAAACGCCAGUGCCAUAUCAAGGGGGAGGGAAUCGUCCUUGCAUUUAUAGGACACACACUCUGGAGCAGAAUCCCUUGCAGUCCCUAGAGGAAUAAGAACUUAUCAGAGCCGUUGGUUCUCUGAAGUGUAGUCUCUUAAGUGAAGUCUCCAAGGAUCUCAAAACCCUCCGCCCAAUCUCUGCGAGGGGCCACUGCCAUGAUAUAACCUCCAAGUCUCUAAGUGCACACGCAAGUUUGACCCAGCGACCCCUGACGUCCCCCUUCCGCUCUAGAGGAGCCCUGAGGUGGAGCGCUUCCACUGAGCUGAGUAUGCCUCAAACUCGGUUGUUGUGAAAGGAGAGUGUGCGCUGGGCAGCUCUAGGCGCCAUGCGUCCGUGGACGGGCUCGUGGCGCUGGAUUAUGCUGGUGCUGCUAGGCCUGGGGCA